AAGUCGAGCGAAUGGAUUGAGAGCUUGCUCUCAUGAAGUUAGCGGCGGACGGGUGAGUAACACGUGGGUAACCUGCCCAUAAGACUGGGAUAACUCCGGGAAACCGGGGCUAAUACCGGAUAACAUUUUGAACUGCAUGGUUCGAAAUUGAAAGGCGGCUUCGGCUGUCACUUAUGGAUGGACCCGCGUCGCAUUAGCUAGUUGGUGAGGUAACGGCUCACCAAGGCAACGAUGCGUAGCCGACCUGAGAGGGUGAUCGGCCACACUGGGACUGAGACACGGCCCAGACUCCUACGGGAGGCAGCAGUAGGGAAUCUUCCGCAAUGGACGAAAGUCUGACGGAGCAACGCCGCGUGAGUGAUGAAGGCUUUCGGGUCGUAAAACUCUGUUGUUAGGGAAGAACAAGUGCUAGUUGAAUAAGCUGGCACCUUGACGGUACCUAACCAGAAAGCCACGGCUAACUACGUGCCAGCAGCCGCGGUAAUACGUANGUGGCAAGCGUUAUCCGGAAUUAUUGGGCGUAAAGCGCGCGCAGGUGGUUUCUUAAGUCUGAUGUGAAAGCCCACGGCUCAACCGUGGAGGGUCAUUGGAAACUGGGAGACUUGAGUGCAGAAGAGGAAAGUGGAAUUCCAUGUGUAGCGUUGAAAUGCGUAGAGAUAUGGAGGAACACCA
rnacentral:rRNA from 1 species